GUGCCCGAUCAGUAGUUGAACGGUUGUCUUUAAGCCACCGCUAAUGCAUGAUAAUUGCUGCUUUAAACUUGAUUAUUAUCACCAUUUCAUGGAUUCUUGCCUACCAUAUCACGAGUUCUACCAGAGAGAGAGGGAGUUGACUGUAAAUCGAAGAACAAUCCUCCCUCUCAAACGAUUUGUCAUAUGUCAGGAAGAUACAGAGGAGGAAAUCGAUACGAAACAAUCCCAACGAUGGAGGUCCACCAUCUUCACUAUCUUCAAACUCAUCGUUUCCGUUAGUCUGGUCAGAAGAGUUUGUUUGAUUUUCCGUAGGGUUUAUUAAUUGUUGAUUAUUAAUGUUAAAAUUAUGAACUUCAGGUUAAUUUUAACUUUUGAAGCAUCUGAUGCUGGUUUUUUCAUAGGGGUAGAAAGGAAGAAAAAUGUCAAGAAUUAGAGAUUUCAACAGUGGCUUUUGGUAUACAAUUACGUGUAGCUAAGUAUCAGCCAAAAUUAGGGCCAAUCAAGAACAAUAGGUCUAUAGAGAAUACUACCCAACAAAUGAUCAAGUUGUCUAUUUGGAAUGUGUAUGGGAGACUGACAAAUUCGUUUUACUCGAGAAAGUGAUCGAAGCCGAUCCGAGACAGUAAACGAUGGUGUUGUAUGUCAAGGUUCAUCUAUAGUAGAGUAUGAAAGUAUUGAAACCACUCUUGGCGCUUUGCGAGCAGUGGGGGAAAAACUAACAAGCAGAGUUGUUUUGUCGAAAAGAGGAGUUCCAGAUCAGUUUCUGGACUGUGUUUUCUAUGUAGAACACAUGGAGAGAAGUGAUCAUCUCUUCGCAUCUUGUAGAUAUAGAAAACCACAGGCCAGCCUCAUUUAGAUCGGAGUUUUGUUCGGAAAUUAAACAUUUUGUUCGACACCAACAACAACGAGAUUUCCGGAUAUCAAGGCCAGUUUGGUUCCUUUGCCACAAAGCUAGGGUCGAUUCUAUUUUUUCUCCUUCAAUCUUAUUGUGCGACCAAACACAACCAUCGGCAUGCCAUCACGAGUACCGCCCAUUCAUAUUCGUAGUUCCGGUAAGCAUUCAAACGGGAGUGCACUCUAACUGGCAAAUGGAUUUAAGCAUAUUUGUGGUGUUUAUAUAAAUGUUUAAAUGGGUGGCACAAUUAAUAUAUUAAGAUUAAGAGUCUUGAUUUAGGAAUGUAUAUUAUAGGCCCAAACGCAAGGUGAGUCCAUCUGUGAUCAAAAGUAAUGGGGAUGUACUUCUGGGGAUGUUGAAAUGAUUUGAUUCUCAGAACACAUUGCUUUACAUUAUUAUGUUGUUUGUGAUCAAAAGUAACUGUAAUGUUUUCAUUUAAAAAGGUUAGACCAUAUUAUUCAC